rnacentral:rRNA from 1 species
AGUGAACGCUGGCGGUAGGCCUAACACAUGCAAGUCGAACGGCAGCACAGUAAGAGCUUGCUCUUACGGGUGGCGAGUGGCGGACGGGUGAGGAAUACAUCGGAAUCUACUUUUUCGUGGGGGAUAACGUAGGGAAACUUACGCUAAUACCGCAUACGACCUACGGGUGAAAUCAUGGGAUCUUCGGACCUUGCGCGAUUGAAUGAUCCGAUGUCGGAUUAGCUAUUUGGCGGGGUAAAGGCCCACCAAGGCGACGAUCCGUAGCUGGUCUGAGAGGAUGAUUCGACACACUGGAACUGAGACACGGUCCAGACUCCUACGGGAGGCAGCAGUGGGGAAUAUUGGACAAUGGGCGCAAGCCUGAUCCAGCCAUACCGCGUGGGUGAAGAAGGCCUUCGGGUUGUAAAGCCCUUUUGUUGGGAAAGAAAAGCAGCAGGUUAAUACCCCGCUGUUCUGACGGUACCCAAAGAAUAAGCACCGGCUAACUUCGUG